rnacentral:lncRNA from 1 species
UUUCUCAAGCUAAUAUCCCAAAAUCCCAAUUCAAAAAAUGGACAUGAGCCUAAUGGGACUCGAAAAUCCUCUCUUCCACACUCUCCACCACAUCCUCGACGCGGCAGAAGACUCCUCCUUCGUGGACAGCAACAAGUCCGCCGUGAACCACCCCAGCCGCUCCUACGUCCGAGAUGCCAGAGCCAUGGGGGCGACACCCGCGGACGUCAAGGAAUAUCCCAACUCCUACGUCUUCAUCAUUGACAUGCCGGGACUGAAAUCCGGAGACAUCAAGGUUCAGAUCGAGGACGACAAUGUGCUGGUGAUAAGUGGAGAAAGAAAGCGGGAGGAAGAGAAGGAAGGGGCUAAGUUCGUGAGAAUGGAGCGGAGGAUUGGAAAGUUUAUGAGGAAGUUCGUACUGCCCGAGAACGCUAAUACUGAUGCGAUCUCGGCGGUUUGUCAGGAUGGGGUGUUGACGGUGACGGUGGAGAAGUUGCUGCCUCCGGCGCCGAAGAAGCCCAAGACCAUUGAAGUCAAAAUUGCUUAAUUUGAAGUCAGAGGAGAGAUGUUACCUAUCUAUCUUAGUUUUUCUGGUUUUAGUUUUAAAUUUUAAUAAUGGUGUGAUGAGUCUGGGUUUAUUUUUUACUAAUUUUUCUUUUGGGUUUAUGUAGAUGUAGUAAGUGAUCAGUGAUG